rnacentral:rRNA from 1 species
AUUGAACGCUGGCGGCAGGCCUAACACAUGCAAGUCGAGCGGAGCGGCGGACGGGUGAGUGAUGCCUAGGAAUCUGCCUGGUAGUGGGGGAUAACGUCCGGAAAUGGGCGCUAAUACUGCAACCUAUCAGAUGAGCCUAGGUCGGAUUAGCUAGUUGGUGGGGUAAAGGCCUACCAAGGCGACGGUCCGUAACUGGGCUGAGAGGAUGAUCAGUCACACUGGGACUGAGACACGGUCCAGACUCCUACGGGAGGCAGCAGUGGGGAAUAUUGGACAAUGGGCGAAAGCCUGAUGCAGCCAUGCCGCGUGUGUGAAGAAGGUCUUCGGGUUGUAAAGCACUUUAAGUUGGGAGGCGUUACCAGCAGAAUAAGCACCGGCUAACUUCGUGCCAGCAGCCGCGGUAAUUC